GACGGGGGAUGCAAGUGUUAUCCGGAAUAAUUGGGCGUAAAGCGUCUGUAGGUGGUUUACCAAGUCUGUUGUUAAAACUCAAGGCUUAACCUUGAUCAGGCAACAGAACUAGUAGGCUUGAGUACGGUAGGGGCAGAGGGAAUUCUCGGUGUAGUGGUGAAAUGCGUAGAUAUCGAGAAGAACACCAAUAGCGAAAGCACUCUGCUGGGCCGAAACUGACAUUGAGAGACGAAAGCUAGGGGAGCGAAAGGG
rnacentral:rRNA from 1 species